AUACGUAGGGUGCAAGCGUUAAUCGGAAUUACUGGGCGUAAAGCGUGCGCAGGCGGUUUUGUAAGAAAGAGGUGAAAUCCCCGGGCGCAACCUGGGAACUGCAUUUGUGACUGCAAAGCUAGAGUACGGCAGAGGGGGAUGGAAUUCCGCGGGUAGCAGUGAAAUGCGUAGAUAUGCGGAGGAACACCGAUGGCGAAGGCAAUCCCCUGGGCCUGUACUGACGCUCAUGCACGAAAGCGUGGGGAGCAAACAGGAUUAGAUACCCUGGUAGUCCACGCCCUAAACGAUGUCAACUGGUUGUUGGGUCUUCAUUGACUCAGUAACGAAGCUAACGCGUGAAGUUGACCGCCUGGGGAGUACGGCCGCAAGGUUGAAACUCAAAUGAAUUGACGGGG
rnacentral:rRNA from 1 species